rnacentral:rRNA from 1 species
AAGAUGGCGACCGGUGCACGGGUGAGUAACACGUAUCCAACCUGCCGAUAACUCCGGAAUAGCCUUUCGAAAGAAAGAUUAAUACCGGAUGGCAUACGAAUAUCGCAUGAUAUUUUUAUUAAAGAAUUUCGGUUAUCGAUGGGGAUGCGUUCCAUUAGUUUGUUGGCGGGGUAACGGCCCACCAAGACUACGAUGGAUAGGGGUUCUGAGAGGAAGGUCCCCCACAUUGGAACUGAGACACGGUCCAA